rnacentral:rRNA from 1 species
GACGAACGCUGGCGGCGUGCUUAACACAUGCAAGUCGAACGGAAAGGCCCUGCUUUUGUGGGGUGCUCGAGUGGCGAACGGGUGAGUAACACGUGAGUAACCUGCCCUUGACUUUGGGAUAACUUCAGGAAACUGGGGCUAAUACCGGAUAGGAGCUCCUGCUGCAUGGUGGGGGUUGGAAAGUUUCGGCGGUUGGGGAUGGACUCGCGGCUUAUCAGCUUGUUGGUGGGGUAGUGGCUUACCAAGGCUUUGACGGGUAGCCGGCCUGAGAGGGUGACCGGCCACAUUGGGACUGAGAUACGGCCCAGACUCCUACGGGAGGCAGCAGUGGGGAAUAUUGCACAAUGGGCGGAAGCCUGAUGCAGCAACGCCGCGUGCGGGAUGACGGCCUUCGGGUUGUAAACCGCUUUCGCCUGUGACGAAGCGUGAGUGACGGUAAUGGGUAAAGAAGCACCGGCUAACUACGUGCCAGCAGCCGCGGUGAUACGUAGGGUGCGAGCGUUGUCCGGAUUUAUUGGGCGUAAAGGGCUCGUAGGUGGUUGAUCGCGUCGGAAGUGUAAUCUUGGGGCUUAACCCUGAGCGUGCUUUCGAUACGGGUUGACUUGAGGAAGGUAGGGGAGAAUGGAAUUCCUGGUGGAGCGGUGGAAUGCGCAGAUAUCAGGAGGAACACCAGUGGCGAAGGCGGUUCUCUGGGCCUUUCCUGACGCUGAGGAGCGAAAGCGUGGGGAGCGAACAGGCUUAGAUACCCUGGUAGUCCACGCUGUAAACGGUGGGUACUAGGUGUGGGGUCCAUUCCACGGGUUCCGUGCCGUAGCUAACGCUUUAAGUACCCCGCCUGGGGAGUACGGCCGCAAGGCUAAAACUCAAAGGAAUUGACGGGGCCCCGCACAAGCGGCGGAGCAUGCGGAUUAAUUCGAUGCAACGCGUAGAACCUUACCUGGGUUUGACAUGGAUCGGGAGCGCUCAGAGAUGGGUGUGCCUCUUUUGGGGUCGGUUCACAGGUGGUGCAUGGCUGUCGUCAGCUCGUGUCGUGAGAUGUUGGGUUAAGUCCCGCAACGAGCGCAACCCUUGUUCACUGUUGCCAGCACGUUAUGGUGGGGACUCAGUGGAGACCGCCGGGGUCAACUCGGAGGAAGGUGGGGAUGACGUCAAGUCAUCAUGCCCCUUAUGUCCAGGGCUUCACGCAUGCUACAAUGGCUGGUACAGAGAGUGGCGAGCCUGUGAGGGUGAGCGAAUGUCCAGAAGCCGCUCUCAGUUCGGAUUGGGGUCUGCAACUCGCCCUCAAGAAGUGGGGGUCGCUAGUAAUCGCAGAUCAGCAACGAAGCGGGGAAUACGUUCCCG